rnacentral:tRNA from 1 species
AUGCGGGCGUAGCUCAGGGGUAGAGCAUAACCUUGCCAAGGUUAGGGUCGAGAGUUCGAAUCUCUUCGCCCGCUCCAA